rnacentral:tRNA from 1 species
UCUCUCAUAGCUCAGUUGGUAAAUCAUCUGCCUGCAAUGCAGGAGACCUGGGUUUAAUUCCUAGGUCGAGAA